rnacentral:rRNA from 1 species
GGCCUGCCCACUGAAAGUUUAAAUGGCCGCGGUAUUUUGACCGUGCAAAGGUAGCAUAAUAAUUAGUUUUUUAAUUGAAAGCUGGAAUGAAAGGUUGGAUGAGAAAAUAACUGUCUCUAUUUAAGUUAAUUAGAAUUUUAUUUUUAAGUAAAAAAGCUUAAAUAAUAAUAGAAGACGAGAAGACCCUAUAGAGUUUUAAUUUAGUUGGGGUGAUUGAAAAAUUUAAUUAACUUUUUUUAUAUACGGACAUUGAUAUAUGAGUGAUUGAUCCUUUAUUUAAGAUUAAAAGAAAAAAUUACCUUAGGGAUAACAGCGUAAUUUUUUUAGAGAGUUCAAAUCGAAAAAAAAGAUUGCGACCUCGAUGUUGGAUUAAAAUUAAGUUUUGGUGUAGAAGCUAA